rnacentral:rRNA from 1 species
AUUGAACGCUGGCGGCAGGCCUAACACAUGCAAGUCGAGCGGAUGAAGGGAGCUUGCUCCUGGAUUCAGCGGCGGACGGGUGAGUAAUGCCUAGGAAUCUGCCUGGUAGUGGGGGAUAACGUCCGGAAACGGGCGCUAAUACCGCAUACGUCCUGAGGGAGAAAGUGGGGGAUCUUCGGACCUCACGCUAUCAGAUGAGCCUAGGUCGGAUUAGCUAGUUGGUGGGGUAAAGGCCUACCAAGGCGACGAUCCGUAACUGGUCUGAGAGGAUGAUCAGUCACACUGGAACUGAGACACGGUCCAGACUCCUACGGGAGGCAGCAGUGGGGAAUAUUGGACAAUGGGCGAAAGCCUGAUCCAACCAUGCCGCGUGUGUGAAGAAGGUCUUCGGAUUGUAAAGCACUUUAAGUUGGGAGGAAGGGCAGUAAGUUAAUACCUUGCUGUUUUGACGUUACCAACAGAAUAGGCACCGGCUAACUUCGUG